UUUAUGAGCAGAUGGAUAUUGACACCAUGAUGUAAUCACGGGUAUUUGCCAUUCUGUAUAUCCAGUUGAGUUUCUCAGGUGGAACACAUGAAGGAGAUUUGAUGGAUGCAGUCUAGGAAAUGGACGUAAAGAGGACAAUUAAGAGGGACCCUGGACCUGGCAGUCACUUCGAAGAACGCUGCCUAAUGGUGUGUGAAUCCAUAUGGAGCAUAAGGGGCAGGUGCUGACACAAGUCAUGCUGAAACAUCCACCAUCAGCUGUGAAUCGGAGAGGCCUUUGGUCUGAAUUACAGAGAAGCUGCUGGGUAAAGACACAUUACUUCAGCUCUCCCUUAAGUACUCUUACUCCUUCUCACUCACUCACUCACUCUCACUCUCUUCUUUUCAGAUCUGUUGAGAUUGGUGUCUAACAACUAGUUGCACAGGGAAAGACUGGCUACCCCUUGAGCUAAUACUGCUAAAAGCCCUGAAAGGCAAGUGACAUUGGCUCUUAGAUUCUGUAAGAAAUAAAAGCUCAAAGAAAGCAUGUCAGUGAGGAUCAGCUUGGUUCAGGUAUAUUUCAUUUUUUAUCUCGGUGGUGUUGAAGUUCAGCAAAAUUCUGUUACAAAAUCCAAUUUACCAUUACACAAGUAUUUUAAUCCUCAACUCUUUACAUUAGGCUCUGCGUCCAAUCAACAAACAGAGGGCAGGUGGGGGCUGUGACUUAGCUGCUAAGCGCAGAAUUUAAGAUUGUAGUUUAGGUUAGGGAAAUCAAAAACGACAGCGGAUAUGGAGACACGGGAUGCUAUUUGCUCUGUUGUGGAGAAUAUUCCCGGCAUUUGCUUAAAUGAGGUAAAAAUAAAUAUAUUUGGCUUUCUGUUCAUGAUAGAGACAAAAUUCGACUGAAAAGCUACAUUUGUCCCAUGGACUACUUAAAGCUACGCUACUUAAUUGAAUAUUUAAUUGUUAAACAAAAUGAUGGAAAUUUAAUAAUGAAUAAAAAGUAAAAAAUAAAAAUGUCAGCCUACAAUGCAUGGGAGAAGCUUGAAGCCACAACUACUAAAUCUCAACCAAAAAAAAAAAAGAGUUUGCAAGCAAAAAUGGAAAGUAACAGUGCCUGUAAUAUAACAUGAAUCAAGAUAGUUUGCAUAGCAUCACGUUUGGUGUUCAUGGACUAAAUUCGAAAAACAAAGUUUAUGUUGUUAACUAUAUGCCAAUUUCUAAACCAGUUACUACUUUUGUCUAUUUUGCUUAUAAAUAAUCUUCCAAAGUUACAAUUAAUAAAACAACUUAUAUGCUAUACUGACCCACUCAUAAGACAUUUAAAAGAAAAAAAAAAUUCCAAUCCAUCUUUUGUUAAUGACAUUUACACUUAUAAGGUGCUCAUCUGUAACCAGUAGCACAGCGGUGCACCUCAAGCCAUCAGAUUUAUCUGCAUAUAAUAAUGGAGCCAAAACACAUCUCACAUGAUUACCAAAAUCUCUGCAAGUAACUUUUAAUUUUAUGCUCACGCUAACUGCUAAACGGACAAAAGUUACAUAGUGCAGCUUUAAUAAAGAUUUGGGGUGUAAAUUUUGGGUGAAGCCACAGGAGUGUGGUAAGCACCCGUUCAUAUACCCUUGCACUGCAUUGUGAUUGACAGGAUUAGAUGAACAAAUUCCUCCCUUUCAUGUCAAACUACAGGUACUGGACUAUGAUAGCUUCAAAGCAGGUGAAAUGGAAAUAAAAAUGAAACAAUGGGGGGAAAACAGGUGAAUCUACAGGAUUUUUUUAAAGCAUCUUGGGAACCAUUGUUUCAAGGCCAAGUCUCUCUAACAGCAUGAGCAUGCAUUAGGAUGCUAUUGUGUGAAUUCCCCAGUGUUUUCCCUAGCUUUAUUCUUUAAAUCAUUUAUUAUUUUAUUUUGAAGUAACCGAGGCUACAUGGGUUGCUUUGAGAGGAUUAAACUACAACACCUUUAGGCAGGGUUAGUUCAUCGCGCAAUUUGUUUGAGCAUUCGCAGCUUCCGUUUCAUAUGUUACUGGCUGAACAAAUAUGAGUUUAAGAAAAACAGGGUGUAAUGUUUUCCUCAGCAGUAUCUUAUUAAUGAUUUUUAGGAUGUAUAUGGUGGGAUACCUCUUAACUGCUCUUGAUCUAUGACUUGUUUAAUUAGUCUAGCAAUACAAAUAUUGCCUAUGGGCACUAUAUGUAUUGAACAGCAAUGUGAAGUGUGAAAAAACUUACAAGACAGUAAUACAUGUUUCUGUCUGUUCCCACCCUAGCUGGUCUAUAAAUAAAAGAGGGUACGUUUCUCUGCAUGCAUUGAAUACAAUUAUCCAGGAUGAAUUCUAAUAUAAUACAUCUGUGGAAAUGAAAAUGAAUUAGGUCGCCCACUUUACGCAGCCUAAUCAGGUAAAUGCAUUCUCCCUCACACGCAAUGUUUAGAAUCAAAUAUUAGCAUAAUGUGUCCUGUAAUGUGUACAGACUUCAUAAUCAUGGGAAGAAGGAGGCGAGAACCGGCAGACAUUUAAAUCAAAGUGUGACGAGUGGGGCAGGGCCGAGAGCCGUGGGAAUGGAGCGAGGCCGGUGGAGUGACUUGGAAAUAAGCAACACCUGCGCCACUCACCGGUCUCGAGUCCCACGGAGGAGAUCGAAAGGAUACAAAAGAGGAGCUAUGAAAGUGAAGGAUGAGAGAGGACCAGGCCUGGGCUUUAUUUUGUGUCUUGUGUUUAUUUUGUAAUUAAACUUCGCAAUCACGGGAAAAAGAGGCGGGAACCGGGGAACAUUCAAAUGAAAAGUUUAAUUGUGUAAACUGCAUAACAAUAUAUGGUCCCAGUUUACAGUAUGUGUCUCUAAUACCUG
rnacentral:lncRNA from 1 species